AAUCUAAAAUAAUUGUUGUCUUUCAUUGAGUUUAACAUUCUGUUUCAAAUUUUGGUAUAAAUAUAAAGCUGUGAUAUUUUUACUCAAGGAAGUUUUUAUACCAAUCCAACAGUGGUGUUCCUAAGAGGUGGCCAAGAGGGGGGCAGCAACCCGGAGAAAAUUGACAACCGCUAAGCAGGACCGAUGUGUCAAGAUGAAAUGGGACUGAGCCGAGCUGCUUCUCUGAGCACAUCGGCUUACGUGGCUGUUAUGAGGAGGAGUGACGGCGCUGAAGUCUGCGCCGCAAGCGUGGACAGCUGGGCAGGGACGCGGCGGCCUGCGACGCCCUGAUAAGCACUUAUCAAGAUGAACAGAGGAGGAGGCUGGGAAUUACAAGCAGCGCAGCCGCAGGCCCACAGGACCCUGCAGCCUCGGCCUGGUCGUGCUGUGCAAGUUGGACUCACAGUGAGAGUGGCACAUGUGCAGCGUGGCCCAUCAGAUGUCAGUGUUUCCUGCUUGCGCUCUGAAGUGACACUAUAGUGUGAAGUACAGGACAGUUGGAGGGGGGAACGGUUUGAGCCGGUCGUAACCCGGAUGGCGUCUUGUGUCACCACUGGACUUUGAUGGCAGCCUUCAAAUUCCCAAGAAACGGGCUUCUGUGAAGGCGGUGGUCUUAUCUCUUUGGUGCAGAGCUGCAGCAGCAAUGCUAUACCCAGGAGAGCUCCCUCUCUCUGUGUUUCUCUCUCUCUCUCUCUCUCACACACACACACACACACCCACUCACUAACACACAAAAACUGUCCUCACCAUCACCAAACACUUUCAGAGAUGAGUUGCCUCCUCCAUGCUGAUCUUGGCAUGUGAGGUGACGUUUUUAGCAGCAGAGGAGCGUGAAAGUGUUGCUCUGACUAAUAAAGUUAGCUUGUCACUUAGCUAUCGUAACUCUUUCCACUGUUGAGUUCAUGUAAUACACAGAUGUGUAAAGUGAAACUAUUACCACUUGUAGCUUUUCCCCCCUAAAUGUUCAUGUUGUUUGGAGUUAGUUUUUGUUCCUGUAAAGAUCUCGUGAGCAUUGUUGUUGUUGUUGUUGCACAGAUGCUGAUAAAAUGUUGUUUUUUUUCCUC